UGUAACAUGCAGCAAAGAAAGGCCUAUGGGCCAUAGAAAAGGAAACUGAUCAGGACUCACGCAGCCACGUUGGGAUUCCACAAAACGAAGCCAUCGAUCGCGCCGCAAGAAAAAGAAAACGAAGCGAUCGAUCCCUUAUCUCUGGACGCGUCAGUUCCUCUUCGACCCAGUCCUCGUCGCCUCGGCUUCGACUGCCCAGCCCAAGCCGCCGAUGAUCCGAUCCUCCGAUAGCAGCCAAACCCGGAUAGCAGCGAGACACGGGAUAGCAAAUUAGCAAUUCGCGAGCAGCGCAGAACCUCUUUCAGUCUUUAGACUUCAGUUCAAAGAUCAGCGAGACACGGACACGUUCGCGGCUUGUCGUCUCGUCAGUUUCAAUUUCCGGGGCCGUCGCCAUAAUACGCGCAUACAUACAUCGCCGAUUUACUUGAAGGAAGUUGCAGAAAAUUUGCACAAACUUUCUCUCUGGAGGGUGGUUCAUGUGAUGUUGAGGUAUAUGAUCUUAUUUCUGAAUUAAAGAUGAUGAGAUUCACAUUGCCAGAUGGCGUGAAGUCUGCUAUGGAGAUUUUUGAGCAUGUCAGAGAAGUUGAUUGUUAUCCUAAUAUCUCUCUAUUGCUUACCGCAUCAUGUUUACUGUGCCCAUGACUGUUGCAUCAGCUGAAAGAAGCUUUUUAAAGUUGAAAUUAUUGAAGAACUAUUUGAGAUCAACAAUGACUCAGCAGAGGUUAAACGGUUUGGCAGCAUUAUGCAUCGAGAAGAAAUUAUUAGAUGACAUCGACAUCGACCCCAUCAUAAGUGAAUUUGCAUCAAGGAAUGCUAGAAGAAAAUUUUAAGGUACUAUGUAUAAAAUAUUUGAUAUGCUAGUGCUUCUGGAUACAUUUAAGUGAUAUUGAGAAUAUUAUUUUUUACGUAUAUCUAUAAA